rnacentral:rRNA from 1 species
ACGUAGGGGGCGAGCGUUAUUCGGAAUUACUGGGUGUAAAGGGUAUGUAGGCGGCCCUUCAAGUCGCGUGUCAAAGUCCAGUGCUCAACGCUGGGUGUGCACGCGAUACUGACGGGCUUGAGGGCUGGAGAGGUGAGCGGAAUUCCCGGUGGUGGGGGAAAAAACGGUAAAAUCGGGAGGAACACCCGGCGGGGCGGGCGCCAACUAGACAGUUUCCGACCGUAAGGCGACGAAGCGUGGGGAGCAAACAG